rnacentral:rRNA from 1 species
GACGAACGCUGGCAGCGUGCUUAACACAUGCAAGUCGAACGGAAAGGCCCUGCUUUUGUGGGGUGCUCGAGUGGCGAACGGGUGAGUAACACGUGAGUAACCUGCCCUUGACUUUGGGAUAACUUCAGGAAACUGGGGCUAAUACCGGAUAGGAGCUCCUGCUGCAUGGUGGGGGUUGGAAAGUUUCGGCGGUUGGGGAUGGACUCGCGGCUUAUCAGCUUGUUGGUGGGGUAGUGGCUUACCAAGGCUUUGACGGGUAGCCGGCCUGAGAGGGUGACCGGCUACAUUGGGACUGAGAUACGGCCCAGACUCCUACGGGAGGCAGCAGUGGGGAAUAUUGCACAAUGGGCGGAAGCCUGAUGCAGCAACGCCGCGUGCGGGAUGACGGCCUUCGGGUUGUAAACCGCUUUCGCCUGUGACGAAGCGUGAGUGACGGUAAUGGGUAAAGAAGCACCGGCUAACUACGUG